rnacentral:lncRNA from 1 species
CCUCCCCAGCCAUGUGGAACUGUGUGGAGUCUAAGAAGUCCAAGGUUGAGGAGCUGCAUCUGAUGAGAGCCUUCUUGCUGGUUGGGAUCCUCUGCAGAGUCUUGAGUUGGGCAUUAAAAACUGUAUCACAGACACAUGAAUAUUGUAGGCCUCAUCUCCAAGUAUUACCACACUGAGGGUCAAGACUUCAACAUAUGGUGGAGAGCAGGAGAAGUCCGAAGAACUAAGUUCAAAACUUUUGAAAAUGUAGAGUUCUCAAGAGUUUGAGAGAGCCUUACUGGGAGAAUGCAGCCGGGCUGGGCAGAAUGCAGCCGGGCUGGGCAGAAUGCAAUCCCCAGCAAACUUGUGGUGCUGACAUAAAGAAGCGUCUCAAAAUGCUCAACUCAAACCUCUGAAGCAUGGAAGGAAACCUAUCAAGCUCUCUGUCAAAACUCCAUAAAGAUCCAGAAUAAAUAAAGAAUGCUUACAAUUCAACAAUGUAAAGACAAAUAACAAAUAAGUGGGCGAAUGAUUUCAAUAGACUUUUCCCAAAAAAAGUUGCAUGACAAAGAAUAAGCUCGUGAAAGGGUGCUCAACAUUGUUAAUCAUUAGGGAGACGCAAUGCAAAAACAGAAAGAUGGAUGGAAACUUUUCACCCACUAAAAUGCAUGCAACAAAAAAGACAGAUAACAGGUAUAAUGAUGUAGAAAAACUGGAACCUUAUGUUACUGGUGGGAAUGUAAAGUGGUACAGAGGCUUUGGAAAAUAAUCUGGCAGUUCCUCAAAUGAUAUAACAUAGAAGACAGCAAUUCUACACCUAGAUAUGUACCCAAGAAAAAUGAAAACAUUUCUAAACAAAGAUGCGUACGUGGAUAUUGAUAGCUACAUUAUUCCUUAUGGCCCAAAGUGGCAACAAUCUAAAUGCCCAUCAACUGAUGAAUGAAUAAAGAAAAUGUGUUAUAUCUAUACAAUGGAAUAUAAAGAAAUGAAGUACUGUUCCAUGCUACUACACAGAUGAUCCCUGAAAACAUUAUGUAAAAUAAAAGCCAGUCACAGAGGAUAACAUGU